UGCAUGCUUAUAAAAUAAAGGGGUAGGAUUAAAUAAGUUAUACUUCUUCCUACCCCUUUUCAGACAUGUUAAAAUGGGCGUAUGUGUAUUCAUA